GUGCUUGAUAAAGUUUUACACAUAGAUUAAAUUUGGAAUGAUACAAAGAAGAUUAGAAUGACCCCUGAGCAAGGAUGACAUGCAAAUUCAUGAAGUUAUUUUU